GACGAACGCUGGCGGCAUGCCUAAUACAUGCAAGUCGAACGCGGCCAUCCGGUGCUUGCACUGGUGAAGCCGAGUGGCGAACGGGUGAGUAACACGUGAGAAACCUGCCCUGGAGUGGGGAAUAACUCGAAGAAAUUCGAGCUAAUACCGCAUACCUUCUCUUCACCGCAUGGUGAGUUGAAGAAAGAUUUAUCGCUCUAGGAGGGUCUCGCGGCCUAUCAGCUAGUUGGUGAGGUAAUGGCUCACCAAGGCAUCGACGGGUAGCUGGUCUGAGAGGGUGACCGGCCACACUGGAACUGAGACACGGUCCAGACUCCUACGGGGGGCAGGCAGUGGGGAAUCUUCCACAAUGGGCGAAAGCCUGAUGGAGCGACGCCGCGUGAGCGAAGAAGGCCUUCGGGUUGUAAAGCUCUGUCUGGAGGGACGAAGGAAGUGACGGUACCGUCCGGAGGAAGCCACGGCUAACUACGUGCCAGCAGCCGCGGUAAUAUACG
rnacentral:rRNA from 1 species